rnacentral:rRNA from 1 species
CCAGACUCCUACGGGAGGCAGCAGUGGGGGAUAUUGCACAAUGGGGGAAACCCUGAUGCAGCGACGCCGCGUGAGUGAAGAAGUAUUUCGGUAUGUAAAGCUCUAUCAGCAGGGAAGAAAAUGACAGUACCUGACCAAGAAGCCCCGGCUAACUACGUGCCAGCAGCCGCGGUAAUACGUAGGGGGCAAGCGUUAUCCGGAUUUACUGGGUGUAAAGGGAGCGUAGACGGUUAUGUAAGUCUGGAGUGAAAGCCCGGGGCCCAACCCCGGGACUGCUUUGGAAACUGUGUAACUGGAGUACAGGAGGGGCAGGCGGAAUUCCUGGUGUAGCGGUGAAAUGCGUAGAUAUCAGGAGGAACACCGGUGGCGAAGGCGGCUUACUGGACUGUAACUGACGUUGAGGCUCGAAGGCGUGGGGAGCAAACAGGAUUAGAUACCCGGGUACGA